rnacentral:misc_RNA from 1 species
AACAAGGCGUACCUGCGGACCUGCGGAGGGAUCAUUACCGAGUGCGGGUCCGCGUGGCCCAACCUCCCACCCGUGCCUAUUGUACCCUGUUGCUUCGGCGGGCCCGCCAGCCUUCGGGCUGGCCGCCGGGGGGCGUCUCGCCCCCGGGCCCGUGCCCGCCGGAGACCCCAACAUGAACCCUGUUCUGAAAGCUUGGUGUCUGAGUGUGAUUGUUUGCAAUCAGUUAAAACUUUUAGCAAC